rnacentral:lncRNA from 1 species
AUAAAUUCAGGACUCCAUGAAGAAAAGUUCAAGAAGUUCCUAAAUGCCCUUUCUGGACAGUAAUGGCGUUCUAGAAAAUGUAUAAUGCUGCAAUCUACUUUUAAACAGCUGCUGUGGCUCCUGAUCAAAGACAGGUCCCUCUUCUUGGUAUUUUUUCAUCUCGAGGAGAACAACUGAAGACUUCUGCUGAAAUUGAGCACCCUUAGUCCCUGUUUGGCACAGCUGAGCUAUCCAGUGACAUUUCAACCUCCCUGCAGAACUGGAAUGUUAAAGAUCUGGAUCCAGCUUACCCUUGAACCUCUUCUCCUUUGGAAAACAAACAAACAAAAAAAUGAAAACAAUGUGAAGCAGAGGUUAAUGACCAGCAUCUCUGUCAGAGACCUGAGAACUUCUGAUGAAGGACUCCUACAACUGUUCAAUUUUCAAGUCAGUGCAUUAAGCGAGCUGAUCUCAUUUAUGUAAUAGACUAAAGAGAAAAACUGAAUACAUCACAUCAGGGACUGUGUAUCCGUGACUGAACUGCUUCCCUUUGCCUCCUCCAGCUACUGCCUGCUGUGUCAGCAGUCCAGCUGCUGUGAUGUUUUCCACUCUGUCUCAAAGGCAGGCAGUGCUAAGCCCUGCCCAGAUGCUCAAGCAUGAAGUCUGCUAGAUUCAACUGCACAGUACUUGUAGCGGGAGGGGCAGGUCUUGAGAAUGAAAAUCAAGACAAAAACAGGCUCACCUCAGAUACUGAGAGUACUUGGAGAAGAUCCCAAUUUCCAUUUAUAGGGCACUUCUGUUUUGUAUAGUUCUGGAGUGCAAUGUGUAAUAAUAAGAGAUGAUUAUGCUGCACAAUAGCCUGAAUAUAGUCACUGAAGCAGAAUGAAAUUAAAAAAGGUUUCUUUUCACAAGGAAUGAUAUAAUGAUUUCUGUCAUGCUUACAGCCAUAAAUGAAAAUAGCAAUUCAUUACACACCAAAACUAAGCAAAUAGUUGAGGCUACAGGUAGUGCAUAAACAGUAAAACCAAAACCAAUAUAAGGACCCAGAGGCUGAUUGCAUUUUUGACUUUAUUUAUUACUUUUGAUCUAGACUAGAAUAGAUGAGACUAGAAAUAACCAUUCUCCUUCUCUGAACACCCUGCCAAUUAUUUCAGUCUACAAAACCAAAAUGCAAUAUGAACAGCUCAUGCUUGUAGCAAAUACCCAUUGGGAUGUUCCAGCCCCUCCUUUUCUACUAAUGCUUAAUUUAACUUCUUUCUUGUGCCCAAUGCUAGGUCACAUCUGUGAGUAUUGCAAGAACUGCUGAUACGUG